AUAUUCCAAAUAUCUAAGCGACAUCUUCUGAAACAUCAAUACUACGCAAGAAAAAAAUUUAGGCGGAAGAAAAAAAAAAAAAAAAUAAUAAUAAUCAGAACAAAUACAAUAGGUCUUUCCACGGAAAAGUGGAAAGACCUAAUAAUCAGAACAAAUUCAAUAGGUCUUUCCACGGAAAGGUGGAAAGACCUAAUAAUAAUCAGAACAAAACCUAUAGGUCUUUCCACGGAAAGGUGGAAAGACCUAAUUAAAA
rnacentral:lncRNA from 1 species